AUUUGCAAACCUCUGGUCAAAUACGAGAUAUGUGGAACCCUUGAAAGGUGAAGGAGAUCUCUUCCUCCAGCAUUCAUGAUGCUGUUUCCUGCUUUCUUCCACUUCUCCCCGGAGCAAGGUGAAUGUUAUACCUCUAGUGGCAGCAGAAGUGAAUUAUUUAGUAUAAUGACGAUGGAAAAUUCAGACUACAGUGAACGAAUUUCUACAUCUUGGCUAUAGCACGUUUGGAACAUGCCAAAAGCUGCACAAACUAAACACAAGACUGUCUGCUUAGCAGCAACAGCAGCUCCUUGUUCUCAUCAUCUAGCCUUUGAAAAUCCCUUGUCUCGGUCCUGCUGACCAUACUAAAGAACAAGUUCAGCAGGAAGGACAAGUGCUCUCCAGAGUAAUUCCCAGUAGAACUGCAUGAGGAAGCCUGGAGCCUGCCUUGGCGCCAUGCUCAAGAAACAGAACGUGCAGUGUGGAGAGCCCUUCAGAAAGCAGCCAGGAUCAGAGAGGGAAGGACAAAUGGUACCUGCGGUCAGCUUUUAACAACAAACCCAAAUAUCAGCGCAGGCGUUUGCCAAGGCGAUAGCAAAGCUGUUGGUGAGGCUGCCCUGCCUCCCCUCCCUACAGCUGCACAAAGACUCAGUAAGUCACACACAGAGAAUGCUUGAGCAGUGGAGGUGCAAAAUGGAGCGUAUUAACUGAAGCUUUUAAUAAGAUUUUGAUAACAAUGAUUUUUAUGUUAAUCUCUAAAGAGUUUGCUUUUGUAACAUGUAACUGAUAAGCAUAUGAUCUAGUUUUAAUUUAAUCUCUGCAGGUGUUUCCCGAUGGUAAAUGUUAAAUUUUUAUUGCUUCCUUAGGCAGUAAUAAUAGGGGAAGUGUCUGUAGGGCUCCCACCAUCCAUUUGUAUGCAGAUAGCAUCAUAUUUUAUAAUAGCUGUAAAUCUGACAGGAUAGACUCUUACUGUUGAGAUGAUAUUAUAAAUAUGUGUCAACACUGAAUAAACAUCUUUGAAAAGAAAAUAAAAUAGAGAUGUUAUUAGAGGUCUAAUGAAACAACCAUAACUGCUUAUUUAUAAGAGAUGUAUGCGCACAUCCUUGGAAAAAAGUAGAGCCCAUGCUGGGUUUGCAGCUUUCUGACGAGCAGGACAUGGAGAUUCUCAGCAGGGUCUUGCAGACAAUGCAGAAAUAGAUCCUGCACUUCAUAAAGAUGAUGACUGUCUAUAAACCUCUAAAUGUUUGUUCUCUCUGAGGUUUCAAAAUGAUUAUAAAUACCACGGUGUCUAAGACUCAAUUAUGGCUUCUUCUGUACAGCUUAGGAGCACAGCAUGUCAGGAGCUCCCACACGAAGAACCAUAAGACACCAAGUACAAGGAAGUGAGCCCAGAUGCCUGUCUGAGGCGUAAAGCAAACACAUUUUGGGCCAAAUUCACCCAGUAUGAGACCCGAAAGGGACUUGAUCUCUUAGACCUUAUAC